ACCUUAGAGACCAACUAAGUUUGUUCUGGGUAUAAGCUUUCGUGUACAUGCAUACUUCUUCAGAUACACAUGCACAUGAUAGCUUAUACCCAGAACAAACUUAGUUGGUCUCUAAGGU
rnacentral:miRNA from 1 species